rnacentral:tRNA from 1 species
GGGAAUGUGGCUCAGUGGUAGUGCACUUGCCUGGUAUGCAUGAAGCUUUGGGGUUCAUCCCCA